UCAUUUCCCCCGGCAUCCCCCUUCCCCGGCUCGGUCCUGCUGCUUCGCAGCGUGUUGGUCAUUCACGCGAACCCACGGCUGGCGCAAAGCCCUCCCUGCCAGGUUGCGUGGCUUUGGGUGAGCACAUCCCAAGGGAGAUUCUGGUCAUCUGUUGCUCACAUUCCCUCGUGUCUGCAUACACAUGUCGAAAAGUAGGAACACCUGAAAGAAAGAAUAAAUCCAGGAAUACAGGCGGAUAAACAGCAUCGGAAGGACCGUCAGCACCCUUGCAGUGGAAGAAGGAAAUCUGACAGCAUUUCCUCACCAGUGAGUUGAAUCUUGGACUUAUGUAAAAUACAGAAAUAAAUGGAUAGAUGCAGAGUAAUUCUACAGUCAACAGCUUGACUUUGUGUUCAUGCCAGCAUGGCAGAGAAUAAAUCUGGUUAAUAUUUUACAAGAAGAAGAGCCACAGAAGACAAAAGCAAAAACACAACACUGAAUUAUGUGCUGAGAAUUGUCUCUGUUCAGGCAGGUGGCUGUCACAGGCAUGACACACAUCUGCCCUGUCUGGGCUAGCAGAGGAAACAGAGGCCUGAGGAAAGGCCUCUGGAUGCUUAUCUUGCACCAGCCCUUUUGCCUUCCUUCAGUGGUAAAACAGGUCAGAAAGAAGCUGUUUUUCCCAGCUCUCAGUGACCUCUGAACUGGGUUAUCCAGUCAUUUUCUCCCUUCCCGCUAUCCCACAGGAACACACAUAAUGGCAGAAUUAAGCAGUGACUGGUUAACGUUCUCUGUGCCAGCUCCUGCUCAGGUAACAAGAACACAAGGCUCUGUAAAGACACCUGUAGCUAGUCCCUGCGAUUAGGGCAGUCUGUGACCUGCACCUACAUCUGCCUGAGCUUGUACGUCCUCCCAGAGCACAAAGGAACCAGUUUUGUUCCCUGGGAGCCUCCUCCACGCAUUCCUGGCUGCACCUCGCCCUGUGCUGCACCAAGACCUACGGUUCAGCACAGCCGGGAAAGGCAGCCAAAGAUCUCGGUGAUCCGUCAUGGGCUCUGCCCCCGCUGUGCCUGGGGCCUGAGCAAUGAGAACACCUGCAGAGCAGGCAGGAUGGACUGAGACAUCCUGAGUCUUCUGGGGACUUCAUGUCUGUGACCUGC